AUCCUCUCAGGGGCACACCUGGAGAGUUUCCAGUACUCUACCAGUCACGGUCACAGAAAGGAGAUUCAAGCAGAGGCCUGCCCAUUCCAUUCCUAGCUUGGGCAGUGGCUAGUGACUGGAAGGCAAUCUGCUACAAGU
rfam:Ornithorhynchus anatinus chromosome 1, whole genome shotgun sequence.